GACGUAGGUGGCGAACGUCAUCCGGAAUUAUUGGGCGUAAAGGGUGCGUAGGUGGCCUGACAAGUUAUCAGUGGCAAAUCGAGGCUCAACCUCGUGGAAACUGGUAAUACUGUCCGGCUUGAGUGCAGGAGAGGUUAACGGAACUCUAUGUGGAGGGGUAAAAUCCAUAGAUAUAUAGAUGAACAUCAAUAAAGGCGAAGGCAGUUAACUAUUCUGUUACUGACACUGAGGCACGAAAGCGUGGGGAGCAAAACGG
rnacentral:rRNA from 1 species